rnacentral:lncRNA from 1 species
ACUUCUGCCCCAAAAGAGUGCAGUUCUCACCAACCAUGCCAGGGUGGACCUUGGGUGACAGGAACUUCUGCUGUCCCACCUUCUGAGCCCAUUCUCAGCUAUGAGAACAUUUUAAAGUGUGCUUUUCAAGAUAUAACAGUCCAGCAGGCAGCUGAAGACAUUUCCACCAUAGACCAUUUCCUAGAAAUAAGCAGUGAAGAAAAACCUGGCCUUGAAUGUGUACAUAAAUUGUGUAACGAAUCCAGAAAACUCUGGAGAGCCCUUCAGAGCAUACACACCACGUCUACUUCUCAGCGCCUCUGGAGCGAGUCCCGUUGCCAGGAGAACUUCUUUCUUGUUCUUGGAAUAGAUGCUGCGCAGAAGGUAGGCGGUUUGGGUUGACACAGGGCUCCUGGGAGUGUGGUUGAACUUCACUGUCGCCAGUGGCCCUUGGCCGCGCCCAAGGGGUGGGUGCAGGCAGAGGUGUGGGUUCAGGUGGGUUAAAGCCACUAGGUGGCCCCAUAAACGUGUCAGGGCCACUGGAUGACUCC